rnacentral:rRNA from 1 species
GCCAUGCGAGUCACAUAGCAAUAUGUGGCAUACGGCUCAGUAACACGUAGUCAACAUGCCCAGGGGACGUGGAUAACCUCGGGAAACUGAGGAUAAACCGCGAUAGGUCAUCACUUCUGGAAUGGGUAAUGACUUAAAUCUAUAUGGCCCCUGGAUUGGACUGCGGCCGAUCAGGCUGUUGGUGAGGUAAUGGCCCACCAAACCUGUAACCGGUACGGGCUCUGAGAGGAGGAGCCCGGAGAUGGGCACUGAGACAAGGGCCCAGGCCCUAUGGGGCGCAGCAGGCGCGAAACCUCUGCAAUAGGCGAAAGCUUGACAGGGUUAUUCUGAGUGAUCUCCGUUAAGGAAAUCUUUUGGCACCUCUAAAAAUGGUGCAGAAUAAGGGGUGGGCAAGCCUGGUGUCAGCCGCCGCGGUAAUACCAGCACCCCGAGUGGUCGGGACGAUUAUUGGGCCUAAAGCAUCCGUAGCCGGUUCUACAAGUCUUCCGUUAAAUCCACCUGCUUAACAGAUGGGCUGCAGAGGAUACUAUAGAGCUAGGAGGCGGGAGAGGCAAGCGGUACUUAGUGGGUAGGGGUAAAAUCCGUUGAUCCACUGAAGACCACCAGUGGCGAAGGCGGCUUGCCAGAACGCGCUCGACGGUGAGGGAUGAAAGCUGGGGGAGCAAACCGGAUUAGAUACCCGGGUAGUCCCAGCUGUAAACGAUGCAGACUCGGUGAUGAAUAGGCUUAGUGCCUAUUCAGUGCCGCAGGGAAGCCGUUAAGUCUGCCGCCUGGGGAGUACGGUCGCAAGACUGAAACUUAA